rnacentral:lncRNA from 1 species
AAGCAAGGCUAGCUAUUGCUACAUCUUUUGAUAUAAGUGAUGUAUCAAAGUAGUGAAAAAGGAAAAAACUCCAUGUCAACUAAAAUAAAAAAACUUAUAUGAAUUGCUUAAAUCUAGCAAAUAAAUCGGACCGAGAAGCUUGAUUCCCCGUAUAGAGUUGUUGGAUCUUCUGAAACAAAAAGACCCUUCCACUCAUAACACAUAAUAGUAAAAGACUUCGUUUAAGUGAAAACUGAAAGUAGUCUCAUCACUGCUUGCUAUACUUCUUCUUCUUCUUCUUCUUUUUCUUCUUCUUCUUCUUGGUGGUGGUGGUAGUUCUGUUGUGGUUGUUUAGCUUUGAGCCUUCGGUUGUGAGCUUGGAUGAUGUUGUAAAGAGAGUGGGGGUGAUCAUGAUGACGAUAAGUUGUAAUGGUGCUGGUGGUGGUGAGGGGGUAAUGAUGAUAGUAUUCAAGAGUCAGAAAGGUGGGAAUAAGGACUUGGAGGAGGAGUCCAUGAUGCUUGAUGUUUGCUGUUGAUCUUUUAGACCAACUAAAAUUCCAGCCUAUUGCGUGACCUUCACCUCCAUCCUAUUACAUCUAUGUGGCUGAAAUAAAGGAUCAAAUUCACGCCCAACAAGUUUUUAACUCUUUAUUUUUAUCCCUUUUUAUAUAAUUAUUUGAACACACAUUUAAAUAAUAUUUUAAAUAUAAUUAUAAUAAAAUUAAACUUAAUUUACGAUUUAACCCUUAAAAAAAAUAUAUUUUUUAUUUUUAAUAUCUAAACUUUUUUGGCGCAACUAUUUUUUAGUCAAUUUUCUUAACAGACUUUAAAAAACAUUCCACCAAUUAAAAAUGGCCACGUGCUAUCACCAUUAAAAAUCUCUCUCUCCUUUCUCAUGUUAAUUCUCACCAUAUUUCCCUUCUUCUCACCUGCGCUGCCAUCACCACCACCAACCUCCUCCGACCAGCCCACAAAGUGUAAUGACAGACCUCGUUCCAGCUCCAACCUCAUUCUUGAAGAAGCUAAAGCUUUAGAGCUCUCUGCCGCUUCAUUGCACGUAGACGAUAACGCUCCCCCACCACUACCCUUUCUUCCUUUGCCUGUUGAGUUGAUGUUGCAGAUAAAGGAGAGGGAAUAAAAGAUAGUGUGCUGUAUAGAGGGAUGAUUUUUGGAUAAGGUAAGUUGAUUAUGGUUGGCUGCCAAAACAUGAGAUGAGAAGAUGGACUCUUUAAAAUGAAAAAAGCUACUUCUCUGUCAAAAACAUAUUUCCAACACAUUACCAGUUCAAUGAAACAAAUAGUAGGAAAUGACUUAUAU